GUGGCGCAGCCGCCUCUCUAGCAGCUCCGGCCCCAGCCCGCGGCUCGCGGACCUGCAGCCCAGCCCGGCCGCGCUGCGUGCCCCGGCGCGCACCCCUCCCACUCCCAUCCACUCGGAGCCACGUCCCCUGCCCGGCUCCGGCCGGCUCCCACCGUCCCCGGCCACCGUCUUCGCCCCUGCCCGGCCCCCGCCCCUUCCAGCCACUACCCCGCCCCCACCCCCUUCUCCACCCUCACGGACUAGGCAGAGGCCGCCCGCGGUCAGGCCAGGCCGGGUCCAAUUAGGGGACUCACAGCCUGCCCCGCUGUGCACCCCGAGGAGGCCCGGCCCCUGUGUCCAAUCCGGAAGUCGCAGGGAAGUGGGGAGGUCAGGAUGGUGGCGCCCGCGGCUCGGGUCUUCCUCCGGGCAGUGCGCGCGGCUCUCACUUCCACGGUCCCGGACCUGCUCUGCCUCCUGGCCCGAGGCUCCCCGCGUGGCCUCGCGUCUGGUCGCCUACCCCUCGCGGUCCACUCCGCCCAGCAUGGACCUGGAUCCGGGGCGCCUUGGUUGCGAAUUGCCAGGAGGGCCCUGAGGACCUGAAGCCUCCCAGUCACGUCGAGAACGGGCAGGAGCUCAGGUUGGCGCCGCCGGUGCAGUGGGCAUUACAGGUGCAAGGGAACCAGUUGCAAACUGCAGUGCUGUGCUUGAGGAUGGCUCCUCCUGAGCCGGCAGGCUCCCGGUAGGCGCGGUCCAGCCAAAGAAUUUAGAACGAGUCUACGUGGACACGCAAGUUUCAGCGAGCGGGGAUUUCCUGCGAGGCCGAGCGCGAGGAACAGCCGGCCCCGGAGGCUCGGGCUCGGGGUCUCCCCGGGGACGCGGCCGACUGAGAAGGCCGGGGCGCUCGCCGGGCGCGGCGCCGUCCUCCGUGUCGCGGGGACGGAAGGAGGCGACGCAGGCCAGGAGUCGUGCGCGCGGGCGGCGAGGGGGCGCUGUGGCCCGUGUCUGCCGGCCCGAGUCCCGGCAACGGUGGGCGCGACCCACCUCCUCCCCCGGCGGCUUAAUUCGGGGAAGAAGAAAAAACGGCAUCGAGGCAUUUCAAUAAAACCUAAGCGACUCCUGAUCCUUUCUCAUUGUGGUUCCUUAUGAGCUUUCGGUGUCUGGCGGGGAAACAGUUACCGUUCGGGGGUGUGGCAAACUUUUUUGGCAAUUAAGAUGAAACAGACGCUUUUAUGUGGGUUUCCUUUAAUGAAGUAACAUUGGAAAUGUAAGUAGUUUCAGUGCAUCAAAUCACAUCGCUACCGUAUUCGCGGUCACCGGCCCUCCCGUUCCAGGGCUCCCCGCGUUUGUCGAGGGAGAGAGCGAGGCAGGAACAGGGGGCCGGGGACAUGAGAAGUUUGGCUAAGAAAUUUUUCUUUUCUUUGAAAACAAAAGCGUUGUUAUAAAUGGAACAAAAUUUAAGUCAACAUGGAACCCACAUCUCUUUCAAACGUCGUUUCUAGGUCUAGUACUCUGUGAGUAGGUUGGACUGGAUUUCACGCUCAACCGGCAUUUCUAGGCUCUCAAAGACGCUUCCGAGGCCUAAAUGUUUUCCUGGAAAACACGUGCAGAGGAGCAUCCGUGGAAGACUGAAAGGUCCCCGCAGCUCCAGUCCUGGCAGGAUGUGCAAGGCCUCUCGAGGUUUUCAAAUGGGCCCCCGAGGCCUGGGAGAUCCCCGAGUAGCCACGCGGGCGCCACUUCAGGGACGCGGGGCGGCGGCUACUGUGGGCCGGGAGGGCCCCCGCACGGGCUGCUCUGAGCGCCUGGACCCGGGACCCUGCGCGCGCUCUUUUCUUUUUCUUUCGUUUCUUUCUUUCUUAUUUAUAAUUUACAUUCUAGGGACCUCGUAUUCAGCUAACCAGCUCUUGCUUACUUAACUGCCCUGUUUUCAGCUCCGGAUUUCUGGGAGGUCUCCCCAUGGCUAACUUGUCCCUCCCGGCAUCCUUUAGCGCUCUGCAAAAUUUGCCUUCCUCCCACAGAUGCCCCGCCUCCGACGUGCUUCCUGAAGUUUCUCUCCCGCUCAGGGUGCCCACAAUCCUGAAUUCUCCAGCAUCUCGCCGACUCCGUCUCUACCCUCCUCUCCUUCCUAAUCUCGCGCUGGCUUCGCCCUUUUCUCUCUCCUCCUCCUUCCUACGCGCCCCGCCCCCUCCCCCCAGGUCGCACCUCUCCCCGCCCGGGUCGGGAGCCCCUCGUGGCCAGGCGUCCGCGCGGCUCAAGACCGAGGUCCGCCACGCUGGGCCGCUCGUGGGCGGCUCUCACCCGGCAUACCGUGGAAACGGCGCGUCCCGCCAGCUGCGGCUCCAGCCUGGGAGGGAGCGCAGCGCGGGGAGCCUGCAGCGUCUGGAGAGUGAGGAAAAGGGACAUUCCUUGGAAAUGGACAGAGCCGAGUUCCUUAAAGGGAUCGCAGUUGAAAGAGACCCUCUUCAAAAUCAGCAACGACCUGGCAGCCUUAGUUCCUCAACAGGAGAUGGUUCGAAGAUGAAAUGUUUGAAACUCCGCCGCCGUUUCACCUUUGCACACACGCGCACGGCAGGCCCAGAUCCGCACAGAGACGCAGACACGCGCGCGCUCGCGCUUCCCGGAGAGGUCGGCGCGUCUCGCUGAAGCUGUUCUGGUCAAGUGGAGUUGUCAGGGCUUUGUUUUGUUUUUGUUUUGUCUUUUAAAUGUGUUUUACAAGACAGUCUUCAGCAGAACUUAGCUCCCUCAACCCUCCGUCCCUCCAGCAGCUCCUCCGUGGCUCUGCAAUCUUCUGUUUAAACACCAGAGCGCACCUCGGUGCUGGCCUCGGCGGGGGUGCGGGGUGCGGGUCGCGGGGUGUGCGGUCACCCAGGAGGCUGCGAAGAGUGCAGGGGUCAGCUCCAUCCCGACGAAAGCAGAUAGGACUCCUCGCUCGCAAGAAACACUGGAGAAAAGAAAAUAAUUCCUCGAGUGUUUUUACAAUUAUUUUAAUCCAACCAGCGAGGCUCUAAAGAGCGUUUGUCUUGAGGCCGUGUUGAAUACCCUUUGCCAACUGUAAAUUCGGCGUGUGUGCCCGAAACUGCUAGCCCUGACCAGGGGCUCGGCAGCACAUGGCCAGGCACACACCGAACUCCUCCUUCCCAAAUCCUUCUGCAGGAUCCUACACCCCUGGAGUAUAUAGGCAGCGGGAGGGGAGGGUUGGGUUUUGCUUUCUUUGCUUUUUAUUUUUAUUUUUUAAUAUGGCUGGGAAUGCAGAAAUUUUAAAAAUGGAUACAUUUGAGUGUGUUAAAAGUAAAAACUUCUCUUGGACAAAACAUAAACUGCUAACCGCAACGGGGGAGAAGAUAUUUGCCGCACAUGUAAAUAACAGAGACUGUUCUACAGCACCAGGAGGAAUUCUGACUGCCAAUGGGUGAAGACGAGGCACCCAGGGAAAUAAAGGGGCAGGGAUGGGGCAGCCCUCCACGCAGAGGAGACGCCUGAGAAUGCGCACAUUCACUGGUUGUCUAUCUCUAGACAACAGCAGAUGCCUCUUCACACCAAUCGAUGGCACCCAGAAAGGCCUAGGAUGUGCCCUGUUCAAACUCUCCCUGCGGUGCAGCUUAAAUUUCUAUAGAGAAAUUCGGGAGACAUUUGGCCGCAUCUGAAAGCGCAGAAGGUGCGUGCUCCCUGGCACCCAGCACACAGGUGUUGGGGAAGCGGGGACGAGGCAGCCCUGGAGCAUGGUUUGCAGGAGUGCAAGACUGCAAGCCUCCUCCACGGCCACCACUCCAGGCCUGGAUAAAGAAUUCGUGGCAUAUUUCAGGGAACAGAAUGUCCCCUGGGGCGAAAGGGGAUGAAGUCAUUCUACUUGUACCAACUUGAGUGCCUCCUAAAAGUGUAACCUUGGGGGCGGGGAUACAGAAGGAUGAUGCUGACAAUGGAAUUUAAAAACAAACAGCAACAUUUUGUGGUGUCUACAGGCGUGGGGGUGGAGGAGCUGCAGCGUCACCAUGGGAACAAAAGUCUCCCACGCAUCUCAGGCCCGAGGAAUCUUUAAAGAGGGAGAGUGGGCAUGGGAGGAGGACUUAAGCUAUUAGUCAUAUUUUAUUUCGAAAACUAGAUCUUAAGUAACUGUAGCAAAAUGUUAACAAUUCUUACCUUGGAAUACCGGUUACAUGGGAUUAUGUUACUCUAUUUUUUCAUCAUGUGAAAUAUUUUAUAUUUUGACAAUUAAAACUAAAUAGUAGCUUUUUAUAAAAGUGGCAUAUGCACUGAAGUAUAAUGUGCUAAUUUGGGAUUCGUUUAAAUAAAACAGCUUUCUUAGAAUA